rnacentral:rRNA from 1 species
CCUGGCUCAGGAUGAACGCUAGCUACAGGCUUAACACAUGCAAGUCGAGGGGCAGCAUUUCAGUUUGCUUGCAAACUGGAGAUGGCGACCGGCGCACGGGUGAGUAACACGUAUCCAACCUGCCGAUAACUCGGGGAUAGCCUUUCGAAAGAAAGAUUAAUACCCGAUGGUAUAAUCAGACCGCAUGGUCUUGUUAUUAAAGAAUUUCGGUUAUCGAUGGGGAUGCGUUCCAUUAGGCAGUUGGUGAGGUAACGGCUCACCAAACCUUCGAUGGAUAGGGGUUCUGAGAGGAAGGUCCCCCACAUUGGAACUGAGACACGGUCCAAACUCCUACGGGAGGCAGCAGUGAGGAAUAUUGGUCAAUGGGCGCAGGCCUGAACCAGCCAAGUAGCGUGAAGGAUGACUGCCCUAUGGGUUGUAAACUUCUUUUAUAUGGGAAUAAAGUUUUCCACGUGUGGAAUUUUGUAUGUACCAUAUGAAUAAGGAUCGGCUAACUCCGUGCCAGCAGCCGCGGUAAUACGGAGGAUCCGAGCGUUAUCCGGAUUUAUUGGGUUUAAAGGGAGCGUAGGUGGACAGUUAAGUCAGUUGUGAAAGUUUGCGGCUCAACCGUAAAAUUGCAGUUGAUACUGGCUGUCUUGAGUACAGUAGAGGUGGGCGGAAUUCGUGGUGUAGCGGUGAAAUGCUUAGAUAUCACGAAGAACUCCGAUUGCGAAGGCAGCUCACUGGACUGCAACUGACACUGAUGCUCGAAAGUGUGGGUAUCAAACAGGAUUAGAUACCCUGGUAGUCCACACAGUAAACGAUGAAUACUCGCUGUUUGCGAUAUACAGUAAGCGGCCAAGCGAAAGCAUUAAGUAUUCCACCUGGGGAGUACGCCGGCAACGGUGAAACUCAAAGGAAUUGACGGGGGCCCGCACAAGCGGAGGAACAUGUGGUUUAAUUCGAUGAUACGCGAGGAACCUUACCCGGGCUUAAAUUGCAUUUGAAUAUAUUGGAAACAGUAUAGCCGUAAGGCAAAUGUGAAGGUGCUGCAUGGUUGUCGUCAGCUCGUGCCGUGAGGUGUCGGCUUAAGUGCCAUAACGAGCGCAACCCUUAUCUUUAGUUACUAACAGGUCAUGCUGAGGACUCUAGAGAGACUGCCGUCGUAAGAUGUGAGGAAGGUGGGGAUGACGUCAAAUCAGCACGGCCCUUACGUCCGGGGCUACACACGUGUUACAAUGGGGGGUACAGAAGGCAGCUACCUGGUGACAGGAUGCUAAUCCCAAAAGCCUCUCUCAGUUCGGAUCGAAGUCUGCAACCCGACUUCGUGAAGCUGGAUUCGCUAGUAAUCGCGCAUCAGCCAUGGCGCGGUGAAUACGUUCCCGGGCCUUGCACACACCGCCC